CAUUCUUCUUCUUCUUUUUUUUUUAGUACUGGGAAUUGAACUCAGGGCUUUGAGGUUAUAAGGUAAGCUCUCUACCACUUGAGCCAUGCCCCCAGCCCUUUUUGCUUUUUAGUUUUUCAGAUAGAGCCUCAACUUUUGCCUAGCUGGUCUGAUACCACAAUCCUCCUGUCUGUGCCUCCCAAGUAGCUGGGACUACAGGCAUGUGCCACCACAUUCAGCUUGGUUUUUAUUGUUGUUGUUGAGAUGGGGGUCUUGCUAACUUUUGCCCAGGCUGAUCCUGAACCUCCAUCCUCUUGUCUGCACCUCUUGAGUAGCUGGGAUUACAGGCUCGAGUCACUGUACCCAGCAAAAUCACACUCUUAGUCUGAGGGACUCAGACUGGGGUCUGUGCAUUAAGCCAGCUAUAGGAACUCAUCUCUGAAAGGAAAAGGGGCGACAACCCAAUCUUCCAACUUCCCCCAGAGCCUGAAGUGGAGAUGGACUUUCGAGAAGCCUAUGAAGUCCAGAUUCUGACAAGUUCUCAGCUAUCAUUUGGGAACCAAAGAAAAAGAAAAAGAAAAAAAAGCUUGGAAAAAAGGCAGCUGUUGGCCUGUCUUGUUUUUGUCCACAGGCUGCCCUGUUGGGUUUCUUCCACAUUGUCUAACUAAGCUAGCUAAAUCAUUGUAAGGCAGACAUGGAAGCAGUGAUCUACAGUGCCAUAAAGCCAUGCCAGGUCUUGGUGACAGUAAAACUAACUACAGAGAAAUGCCAAGAGUUUAGAAAUUAGAUCCAAGAAAACAGCUGUAUCAUCUUUUCAUCCCACUUUCACCCAAAUCCAAGUAAGUUUCCAGCUGCUUAAAUAGUCUAUCAAUUAGACUGCUAAAGUCAGGAAAGGAAAGUCCCAAACUGGCUGCUCUCUACACACCAAGCCCAUUCUAAGCACUUGAUAUGCAUCAUCUUGUUCAAUUUCUGUAAGAUUCCCAUUCUACAGACAAGGAAACUGAGGCACAGCAACUAUGUCACUUGCCCGGAAUCCAAGCUAACCAUGUCUCUGAGCUGCCCUUCCACCUGAUGUGUGACCUUGAGGAAGUAUCUGAUGUUCCUGAAGCCACACUUCCGCUUUUGCAAAAAUAGGCAUAACAUCUCAUGCUUCACAGAAUUUCAGAUUGGGUGAAAGAAAAAUAUUUCCUUAAAUGUGUCACAUUAUCAGAAAGAAGCACCCAGUAAAGAUUAGAUUCCCCCCCACCUUUUUUUUUUUUUGGUGGGACGAGGUCCUCACUGUGUUGCCCAAGCUGCCCUUGAACUCCUGGGCUCAGGUAAUGCUCCUGCUUCAACUUCCUGGAUAACUGAUGCUAUAGGCACAUGACUGUUCACAGCAGGCUCUCCUCACCUUUGAUCAGAGCAAAAAAAGGCCAGAAAUUUCUUGGUUGUUAAACAGGUGAUCAUUUCCCCAAAUUGGCUAAUAUUAAGCCUUGGCUUCUAAUCCUGCCAUUGGUGACGCUCAUGAAACUAGAAAUGGGACAGCAAGUGGGGGUUCAGGAGAGCAAAGGCAACUAUGUCUACUGAAGGUGGUUGCAGAAAGGUGGCACACGCCUUCCACUGCAUGAGGAGUGUCCCUUUCUAGAUAGUGGACUUGACCUCUCUGCUAAGCCUAACCACACUUUGGCU
ensembl:lncRNA